CUUUUGUGUGUUGUGUAUAUUUGUUUAUUAGGCACAUUUCAAUUCAAAUUUGAAUUUGCUUCUCUCACUUCUGUGGGUCUUGGAGUUGUGGAUAUAUUUUGUGGAGCGCGGAGCAUCGGGGAUUUGUGGAGUAGGUAUUGGAUUGACGUUUUCUUGGUGUUUUUUUAAAAAGAUAUUUCAAUAGGCUACAAUGCCACCAGGAAGACCAAGACCAAGACAGUGCUCAUGCCCGAAUCAUAGGCAACACAGGAUGGCAAACUUUGCCUCCCCUGGCUUGUAUGAAGCCUUGAUUUCCAUUUAAGGAAGGAAGUCUGUGCCCAAAUGGAUGAUGCACGUGUUGGGCAUUUUUGCAAAACAAAGCAGUUGAAAGGGUUCAUUUGCCGAGGCUGUAUGGAGUACGCCAAGCAAUGUCAUGCUGAUGGGGAGACACUAGUGUCCGCCAGCGGACGGAGACCCGGCGACGGACGCCGGCUCAAUGGCCAACAGUGGCCCGCCCGCCGGCUGAUGGUGGCUCGCCGACCGACGCCGGCCCGUCGGCUGACCACGGCAUUCCGGCUGAUGGUGGCCCGCCAGCCGACGGAGGUCCGCCGGCCAUUCGUGGCACGCCCGCCGACGGCAGCUCGACGACACGUCCUGGCUAUGUCACCCCCAAGAUUACUUCGCCCCCCAGUCCCUAGGUCACCAGUUGCGGGCGCUCCAUCUGACGGUGUCGUCCGACGGCUCCACGGUGACCAGCGCCGCCACUGCGGAAACCAUCCGACCCCGAAAAUGCUGCUAGCCGUAAAGGGCGCCGGGCACCCAGGACCAGCGCCCUGCUCCGAGGCGGUGUCCAAAGAAGGCUGCACAGUGCACUUGCUGUGCUAAGGCAUAGUGCCCGCUGACUGAUAGGAACAAAUGACGGUUAGUUAUCAGAUUUCAGUAUGGAACUCAAGAUGGUCGGAGCCGACCUGGCUCGGUGGAUGGUGUGCCAGGGUUGAUUAAGUGUCGAAAGGAGUGAGACGCCCAGAUAUGUGAAGGAUGCGUCGAUACGAGCCCCGGCUUCGACUCCCCGUCCCAAAACGAUGUUGGUUGUGAUUGGAGGAUCCCCCACCCCCACCCCACCCACCCCGGAAUUUGUGCUAUGUAAUAGGGCGAUAAUAUGUCGUGGUCUCAUUCUGGCUCGAUAUGGUAAUAGGUACUUAAUUGGACAGAUGUUGAUGGUAUUGGUGGUGGAUGUUAAUGGCAGGUUUGGCGAGCGCGAAUUAAUAAUCGUGAGUAGCUGCAAUCAGUCGCGCGCUUAUUGCUGAGCACCUGUGAGCAAGAAAAUUAUAUGAAUGUGGUAGUUCGUCGUGAAAUCUGUGUACUUUUGGAUUAAGUUGUCAGAACAUAAGUGUAUUUUUGCGUGUCCACUGCAGCUCUGAAACAGAAACAUGGAGAUCGGCUGUGUGCUGUAGCUGCGGGGGCAAGUAGUCCGCGCGUGCCAAAAAAAUCAAAGGUGGUAUGUGAAUUUAAGUGAAUAUACCUCGCUAUAUUUUCAA
rnacentral:lncRNA from 1 species